UGCGUAGGUGGUCGGGUAAGUCUGGUGUGAAAUCUCCGAGCUCAACUCGGAAAUGGCAUUGGAUACUAUUCGGCUGGAGGGUUGGAGGGGGGACUGGAAUUCUUGGUGUAGCAGUGAAAUGCGUAGAUAUCAAGAGGAACACCAGUGGCGAAGGCGAGUCCCUGGACAACUCCUGACACUGAGGACGAAGCUAGGGGAGACGAAACA
rnacentral:rRNA from 1 species